rfam:Bacillus thermozeamaize isolate ZCTH02-B2 BIN02_NODE93131941861, whole genome shotgun sequence.
GAAGAAGGUAGGAAGGGCACACGGUGGAUGCCUAGGCGCCAGGAGCCGAUGAAGGACGGGGCGAACACCGAAAUGCCUCGGGGAGCUGUAAGCGAGCUGAGAUCCGGGGAUGUCCGAAUGGGGGAACCCACCACCCUUUGUAGGGUGGUACCUGCAGGUGAAUCCAUAGCCUGCAGGGGGCAACCAGGGGAACUGAAACAUCUUAGUACCCUGAGGAAGAGAAAGCAACCGCGAUUUCCUAAGUAGCGGCGAGCGAACGGGAAGGAGCCUAAACCGGGCACUGCGGUGUCCGGGGUCGUGGGGCGUCUCAUAUGGAGUGACAAAGGAGUUGGGUAGGUGAAACGGACUGGAACGUCCUGCCGGAGAAGGUGAAAGCCCUGUAACCGAAACCUGACUCCCUCCGAGACGGACCCCGAGUACCGCGGGACACGGGAAAUCCCGCGGGAAUCUGGGAGGACCACCUCCUAAGGCUAAAUACUCCCUGGCGACCGAUAGUGGAGCAGUACCGUGAGGGAAAGGUGAAAAGCACCCCGGGAGGGGAGUGAAAGAGGACCUGAAACCGUGUGCCUACAAGCAGUCGGAGCACGUUAGAUGUGUGACGGCGUGCCUUUUGUAGAAUGAACCGGCGAGUGACGUUUGCGUGCGAGGUUAAGGCUUGAAAGGCCGGAGCCGCAGCGAAAGCGAGUCUGAAGAGGGCGGAUAGUACGCAGGCGUCGACCCGAAACCGGGUGAGCUACCCAUCUCCAGGGUGAAGGCAGGGUAAAGCCUGCUGGAGGCCCGCACCCACGCACGUUGAAAAGUGCGGGGAUGAGGGGUGGGUAGGGGUGAAAUGCCAAUCGAACCCGGAGAUAGCUGGUUCUCCCCGAAAUAGCUUUAGGGCUAGCCUCAAGGGGAAAGACGCGGAGGUAGAGCACUGAUUGGACGCGGGGCCCGCAAGGGUUACCAACUUCAGUCAAACUCCGAAUGCCGCGGACUUGUUCCUUGGGAGUCAGACCAUGGGUGAUAAGAUUCAUGGUCGAGAGGGAAACAGCCCAGACCAUCAGCUAAGGUCCCAAAAUGUACGCUAAGUGGGAAACGAUGUGGCGCUGCGAAGACAACCAGGAUGUUGGCUUAGAAGCAGCCAUCAUUUAAAGAGUGCGUAAUAGCUCACUGGUCGAGUGGCGCUGCGCGGAAAAUGUAACGGGGCUAAGCGUACUACCGAAGCUAUGGAUGCCUGUAUGGCGUGGUAGGGGAGCGUUCUGUCCUGGCAGAAGCCAGACCGGAAGGACUGGUGGACGGGACAGAAGUGAGAAUGCCGGUAUGAGUAACGAAAAGAGGGGUGAGAAUCCCCUCCGCCGAAAGCCUAAGGGUUCCUGAGGAAGGUUCGUCCGCUCAGGGUCAGUCGGGACCUAAGCUGAGGCCGAAAGGCGUAGGCGAUGGAGAACAGGUUGAUAUUCCUGUACCACAUGGCUCCGCCUGAGCGAUGGGGUGACGCAGGAGGGCAGGGGAAGCGCGCGGCUGGAAGAGCGCGUCCAAGCGGCAAGAGGGGUGGAUAGGCAAAUCCGUCCACCGGAGACCUCAAGCCGUGACGGGGAGGGAAAUUUGAGUACCGAAGUCCCUGGGCUCACACUGCCAAGAAAAGCCUCUAGCGAGGAGUCAUGUGCCCGUACCGCAAACCGACACAGGUAGGCGGGGUGAGGAACCUCAGGCGCUCGGGAGAACUCUCGUUAAGGAACUCGGCAAAAUGACCCCGUAACUUCGGGAGAAGGGGUGCUCCUUGGGGUGAAUAGCCCUGGGGAGCCGCAGUGACCAGGCCCAAGCGACUGUUUAGCAAAAACACAGGUCUCUGCUAAGCCGCAAGGCGACGUAUAGGGGCUGACGCCUGCCCGGUGCUGGAAGGUUAAGGGGAAGGGUUAGUGACCACCCCAAAAAGUGUUACUUUUUGGGGGCCCUGGUUGCGAAGCUCUGAACCGAAGCCCCAGUAAACGGCGGCCGUAACUAUAACGGUCCUAAGGUAGCGAAAUUCCUUGUCGGGUAAGUUCCGACCCGCACGAAAGGCGUAACGACUUGGGCACUGUCUCAACGAGAGACCCGGUGAAAUUGUACUCCCUGUGAAGAUGCAGGGUACCCGCGACAAGACGGAAAGACCCCGUGGAGCUUGACUGCAACCUGAUAUUGAAACUUGGUCUGUCCUGUACAGGAUAGGUGGGAGCCUUAGAAAUUCGCUCGCCAGGGCGGAUGGAGGCGCCGUUGGGAUACCACCCUGGGCAGGCUGAGUUUCUCACCUGCCGCCCUGAAUCGGGUGGAGGGACCGUGUCAGGCGGGCAGUUUGACUGGGGCGGUCGCCUCCUAAAAGGUAACGGAGGCGCCCGAAGGUUCCCUCAGCGCGGUUGGAAAUCGCGCGUGGAGUGUAAAGGCAGAAGGGAGCUUGACUGCGAGACCGACGGGUCGAGCAGGGACGAAAGUCGGGCUUAGUGAUCCGGUGGUACUGAGUGGAAGGGCCAUCGCUCAACGGAUAAAAGCUACCCCGGGGAUAACAGGCUUAUCUCCCCCAAGAGUCCACAUCGACGGGGAGGUUUGGCACCUCGAUGUCGGCUCAUCGCAUCCUGGGGCUGGAGUAGGUCCCAAGGGUUGGGCUGUUCGCCCAUUAAAGCGGUACGCGAGCUGGGUUCAGAACGUCGUGAGACAGUUCGGUCCCUAUCUGUCGCGGGCGCAGGAAAUUUGAGAGGCUCUGUCCCUAGUACGAGAGGACCGGGAUGGACAUACCGCUGGUGUACCAGUUGUUCCGCCAGGAGCAGACGCUGGGUAGCCAAGUAUGGAAGGGAUAAGCGCUGAAAGCAUCUAAGCGCCAAGCCCGCCUCAAGAUGAGAUUUCCCACAGCGCAAGCUGGUAAGACCCCUUAGAGAUGAUGAGGUGGAUCGGUCCGGUGUGGAAGCGUGGUGACACGUGGAGCUGACGGAUACGAAUGGGUCGAGGACUUCUUUCA